rnacentral:snRNA from 1 species
GGAUGUGAGGGCAAUCUGGCUGAGAUAUCUUCCACCCAAUUGAUCACUGUGGUUGAUCAGUCUGAUCUGAGUGGCUAGACGGGUGUCUACAUCCUCCUUCACCUCUCCAUGUACACCCUUCUCCAAGCGACAUGCUCNGUCAAAGAGGGUGACUUUCCCUGAUAGUGGAGGGCCUGUCUUUGGCAGGGUCAAGGAGUUGCNUGCUCCUGAUGGAACCCCCAAAUAGGNUCCCAAGGAGCUAGACUUUCCAAGCACAGCCCUGUAGCCCCAAGGAAAACACUCUGCCUUCAGAGGCAAUGUCUUU